rnacentral:misc_RNA from 1 species
GAUGAAGAACGUAGCGAAAUGCGAUAAGUAAUGUGAAUUGCAGAAUUCAGUGAAUCAUCGAAUCUUUGAACGCACAUUGCGCCCGCCAGUAUUCUGGCGGGCAUGCCUGUUCGAGCGUCAUUUCAACCAUCAAGCCCCCGGGCUUGCGUUGGGGCCCUGCGGCUGCCGCAGGCCCCUAAAAGCAGUGGCGGGCUCGCUAUCACACCGAGUGCAGUAGAUUACUCUUCGCUCAGGGCGUGUGGCGGGUUCCAGCCGUGAAACCCCCUACUUCUCAAGGUUGACCUCGGAUCAGGUAGGAAUACCCGCUGAACUUAAGCAUAUCAAUAAGCGGAGGA